rnacentral:misc_RNA from 1 species
GAAAGAAAGAAUUUGAGCCACCGGAUUAUAGUCUGAGUGCUGGUGGAAUUUAUUUUUCAAUCUAUUAAUUUGAAUUUUAUUUUUGUGGUCAAUACUUAAAAAAUAUUUUUCAAUAUGCUAAUAUUGAGAUAAAAUUAUAAUUUUAAAUCUCAUAAACUAAAUUAGAUAAAUAUGAUGAAAUUUAAAAUGUUUAUAUUUAAGUAUGGUUGGAGAAUGGGUAACACAAUAAAUUAUUGGUAGAAUUUGAUUUUUAAUUUUAUAAUUGCCUAAAGAUAAUAGAGAAAAAUAUUCAUAAAAAUUAAUAAAAGAGCUAUUUAAA